UGAAAAAGUGCUGUCUGCAGAGCCUGG
rnacentral:piRNA from 1 species